AGUGAACGCUGGCGGUAUGCCUAAUACAUGCAAGUCGAGCGACCAGACGGUAAGAUCUCUCCCCUGCCGUUGGCGACUGGCGGGCGAGUGAGGCAUAGAUCGGCUUCCUCUUAUACUUGGAUAACUUCGUAAAACCACUUCUACUACUACCUCAUAUAUCCUACCGCAUGGUUCAAUAGAUCUUCACACUUUUCCUGAUUCUAUUAGACGAAUCCGGGCCGGAUUAGCUGGUUGGUAAGGUAACGGCUUACCAAGGCAACGAUGCGUAGCCGACCUGAGAGGGUGAUCGGCCACACUGGAACUGAGACACGGUCCAGACUCCUACGGGAGGCAGCAGUAGGGAAUCUUCCGCAAUGGGCGAAAGCCUGACGGAGCAACACCGCGUGGGUGAUGAAGGUCUUCGGAUCGUAAAACUCUGUUAUUAGGGAAGAACAGAUGUGUAAGUAACUACGCACGUCUUGACGGUACCUAAUCAGUAAGCAACGGCUAACUACGUG
rnacentral:rRNA from 1 species